CCCUUAGAUGUUCUGGGCUGCACGCGCGCUACACUGAUGCGAUCAACAAGUUUUUCCUAUGUCGAUAGACACGGGUAAUCUUUUGAACUCGCAUCGUGAUGGGGAUAGAUUAUUGUAAUUAUUAAUCUUCAACGAGGAAUUCCUAGUAGGUGCAAAUCAUCAGUUUGCAUCGAUUACGUCCCUGCCCUUUGUACACACCGCCCGUCGCUGCUACCGAUUGGUUGAUCUGGUGAAUUAUUCGGACUGCCGGCUGAAGGGGUCUCCUCAUCUGCCAGCGGAAAGUCUUGUUAACCCUAUCAACUAGAGGAAGCAGAAGUCGUAACA
rnacentral:rRNA from 1 species